GCCAGUWGUSAUAUGCUUGUCUHAAAGAUUAUAAGCCAUGCACGUGUAAGUAUAAACAACUUGAAAUACAAACUUGUUUGUUAUACUGUGAAACUGCAGAUGGCUCAUUAAAUCAGUUAUAAUUUCUAUGAUGGUUGUAGUUUCUUUUUCUUUUUUCAUUUUUCGGAAUGAAGAGAGGGAGAUGAAAUACUAAAUGGAUAGCCGUACUAAUUGUGGAGCUAAUACAUGCAUUGAUGUUCAUAUUUUGAAUAUUACUGAAAAAGUCUCGAUUUUUAUUUCGAUAAGAAGAGGGAUGUGUUUAUUAGACGCGAAAUCAUGUUUCUUCGGAAACUACGGUGAAUCACAAUAACCUGAUCGAAUCGCACUUGAAUCAUUUUAAUGUUUCAUGGCGAUAGUUCAUUCAAAUUUCUGCUUUAUCAACUUUUGUCGGGUGUAUAGAGGACAUCUGAGGUGAUAACGAAUGGCGGGGAAUAAGGGUUCUUUUCCGGAGAGGGAGCCUGAGAAACGGCUACCACAUCCAAGGAAGGCAGCAGGCGCGCAAAUUACCCAAUCCUAACACAGGGAGGUAGUGACAAGAAAUAUCAAUACCGGGUUCUUUUAGAGCUUGGUAAUUGAAAUGAGUACAAUUUAAACCCCUUAACGAGGAUCAACUGGAGGGCAAGUCUGGUGCCAGCAGCCGCGGUAAUUCCAGCUCCAGUAGCGUAUAUUAAAGUUGUUGCAGUUAAAAAGCUCGUAGUUGGAGUUGUUGUGUUGAAUGAUUGGUUUGUUUGUUUGUCGGUUGUUUGAGUUUUUUUGCUUGAGCGAUUUGAUGAAUGCUUACCGCAACACAAUCCUUGAUGUUAUGUAUGAGUAUUUUUUACUUUGUUCAGAACAUCAUCCUUUACUUUGAAAAAAUUGGAGUGAUUCAAGCAGGCGAAAUUACAUAUUAAAAUCUUUUUUUUAAUAUAGAUUCAUUUUUGCUUCUGCACAUGUUAGCAUGGAAUAAUGCAAGAGGACUUGGGUUUUCUCUUUCAUUGGUUUCAGGAAUCCGAGUAAUGAUUGAUAGGGACAGUUGGGGGUGCUCGUACUCGACGGCCAGAGGUGAAAUUCUUGGAUUCGUUGAAGACGAACAACUGCGAAAGCAUUCACCAAGGAUGUCUUCUUUAAUCAAGAACGAAAGUUGGGGGAUCGAAGAUGAUCAGAUACCGUCGUAGUCCCAACCAUAAACGAUGCCGACCAGGGAUCAGCGAGCGUUGACUUUGUAUAAAAAUGAUUUCGGUUAUUUUUAUUACAAACCUCAUUAAUUUGAAACGACCUCGUUGGCACCUUGCGAGAAAUCACCAGUCUUUGGGCUCCGGGGGGAGUAUGGUCGCAAGGCUGAAACUUAAAGGAAUUGACGGAAGGGCACAACCAGCAGUGGAGCCUGUGGUUUAAAUUGACUCAACACGGGAAAACUUACCAGGUCCAGACAUCAUAAGGAUUGACAGAUUGAAGAUCUUUCUUGAUUUGAUGGUUGGUGGUGCAUGGCCGUUCUUAGUUGGUGGAGUGAUUUGUCUGGUUAAUUCCGUUAACGAACGAGACCUCAACCUGCCAAAUAGGUUGUUUCUUUGUUGAAAUUUGUUUGAUGAAGAUGGGUGUUUGUUUUUUCUGACUCGGCUUUUUUGUUGAUGUUGGAGAGCGCAUCCAGAGCCAAAUGGAAUUUGUUUUCUGUUUGAUUCUGCAACACUUCUUGGAGGGACUAUCAGUUCGCAUCUGAUGGAGGUUUGAGGCAAUAACAGGUCUGUGAUGCCCUUCGAUGUCCUGGGCUACACGCGCGCUACACUGAUACAUGCAUCAAGCAGUUCAUUAUUUUAUAAGUUGGUUCAAUUGAUUUUGAAUUUGACUUUGACACCUUUGCUGAUAAGCUUGGGGAAUCUUUGAACUUGUAUCGUGAUGGGGAUAGAUGAUUGCAAUUAUUCAUCUUCAACGAGGAAUUCCUAGUAAACGCGGCUCAUCAAGCCGCAUUGAAUACGUCCCUGCCCUUUGUACACACCGCCCGUCGCUGCUACCGAUUGAAUGGUUCAGCAAGUUUUACGGACUGGCGUCUUAUUUGAUUUUACGAUUGAAUGAGUUUUGGAUUUUUGAUAUUCGUAUUGAUUCCAUGUUUUUGCCGGGAAGUGACGCAAACUUGACCAUUUAGAGGAAGCAAAAGUCGUAACAAGG
rnacentral:rRNA from 2 species